CACAUGACCGGUGACCGAGUAAACAGGAAGCCAUAAAAAGUUUGCCGUCAGUUCAAGAAAGUCUCUCUUGGCUGCUUGUCACUGGUCUUCUCCCUCUCACAAAGGGCGAGUGCAAGACGAGAGUUUACCAUUGACGGAGGAAAACUCUCCCGACAGGCACAAGACCGGAGCUUAAUGUACACAACCGGCCCAGCUACCCGGGAUAUUAAGUGACCAUUUCCCCGGCAGGAUUAAGCCGAGUUGGAAACCUACUCUGUGGAAGUUGCGCUCCUCUGCGGCGUAGGCCUGGGCCCGGGUGGAACGCUGCCUGCCUUCAGUGUAGGGACUGCACGGUGUGACACUUUAUUUUCUGUAUGCUAAAUAUCUCACUGUUAUUAUUUUAUAGAGAUUGUGGUUUAAAUAUUGCAUGCUUAUGUUGUUUUGGUGUGUGGCUUUUCUUGUUUUUGUCCCUCACGAUUAGCAGGCACUGCAACCCAGCGGACCGGGCCUGCCCAACUGAGGAGGGUAACUUAUAUAUGUAUUGAAUUGUAUUUGCCAUUUUUAUACUGGACAUGAAUUGACAUUUUAAACUGUUUCCAAACACUUAUUAAAUAAAGCUGUGUUAUGUUUUUGGAAUUCAUGCCUCUGUCAUAAUUGGACCGAUUAAGGGAAGCUUUAAACAAAGCGAUCCACGACUUACAUUUAGGGUCCACGGGUUCCUCCUGCCCCUUAGCAGGAGGUGGCGUUGUCAAGUACUAGCUUUACAUGUGG